GAUGAACGCUAGCGGGAGGCUUAACACAUGCAAGUCGAGGGGCAGCAUAGGGUAGCAAUACUCUGAUGGCGACCGGCAAACGGGUGAGUAACGCGUAUGUAACCUACCCUGUACAGGGGGAUAACCCGGAGAAAUUCGGACUAAUAUCCCAUAACAAUAUCCGGGGGCAUCUUUGGAUAUUUAAAGUUCCGGCGGUACGGGAUGGGCAUGCGUAACAUUAGCUAGUUGGUAAGGUAACGGCUUACCAAGGCUUUGAUGUUUAGGGGUCCUGAGAGGGUGGUCCCCCACACUGGUACUGAGACACGGACCAGACUCCUACGGGAGGCAGCAGUGAGGAAUAUUGGUCAAUGGGCGCAAGCCUGAACCAGCCAUCCCGCGUGCAGGAAGACGGCGCUAUGCGUUGUAAACUGCUUUUCCAGGGAGAGAAACUUGCGCACGUGUUGCGCAAUUGACGGUACCCUGGGAAUAAGCAUCGGCUAACUCCGUGCCAGCAGCCGCGGUAAAACGUAGCGUGC
rnacentral:rRNA from 1 species